CUGUGCUUUAGGGAGCUAAAGGGCCCAGAGGAAUCAAAGGGGCCCCAGGAGACAGAGGCCUGAUGGGAGAGAGGGGUGGAGAUGGACCACCAGGAAAUGGAACCGUGGGUUGCCAUGGCUUCCAGGGUUAUCCUGGGCCCAGGGGAGAUUCAGGAGCACCUGGUGGAAAAGGAACCCCUGGACCCAAGGGAGAUGAUGGAGAGCCAGGUGACCCUGGAUUAGAU